GACGAACGCUGGCGGCGUGCCUAAUACAUGCAAGUUGAGCGCUGAAGGUUGGUACUUGUACCGACUGGAUGAGCAGCGAACGGGUGAGUAACGCGUGGGGCAUCUGCCUUUGAUCGGGGGACAACAUUUGGAAACGAAUGCUAAUACCGCAUAAAAACUUUAAACACAAGUUUUAAGUUUGAUAGAUGCAAUUGCAUCACUCAAAGAUGAUCCCGCGUUGUAUUAGCUAGUUGGUGAGGUAAAGGCUCACCAAGGCGAUGAUACAUAGCCGACCUGAGAGGGUGAUCGGCCACAUUGGGACUGAGACACGGCCCAAACCCCUACGGGAGGCAGCAGUAGGGAAUCAUCGGCAUUGGACGAAAGUCUGACCGAGCAACGCCGCGGGAGUGAAGAAGGGUUUCGGAUCGUAAAACUCUGUUGGUAGAGAAGAACGUUGGGGAGAGUGGAAAGCUCAUCAAGUGACGGUAACUACACAGAAAGGGACGGCUAACUACGUG
rnacentral:rRNA from 1 species